GAUGAACGCUGGCGGCGUGCCUAAUACAUGCAAGUCGAGCGAACAGACGAGGAGCUUACUCCUCUGACGUUAGCGGCGGACGGGUGAGUAACACGUGGAUAACCUACCUAUAAGACUGGGAUAACUUCGGGAAACCGGAGCUAAUACCGGAUAACAUGUUGAACCGCAUGGUUCAACAGUGAAAGACGGUCUUGCUGUCACUUAUAGAUGGAUCCGCGUCGCAUUAGCUAGUUGGUAAGGUAACGGCUUACCAAGGCAACGAUGCGUAGCCGACCUGAGAGGGUGAUCGGCCACACUGGAACUGAGACACGGUCCAGACUCCUACGGGAGGCAGCAGUAGGGAAUCUUCCGCAAUGGGCGAAAGCCUGACGGAGCAACGCCGCGUGAGUGAAGAAGGUCUUCGGAUCGUAAAACUCUGUUAUUAGGGAAGAACAAAUGUGUAAGUAACUAUGCACGUCUUGACGGUACCUAAUCAGAAAGCCACGGCUAACUACGUGCCAGCAGCCGCGGUAAUACGUAGGUGGCAAGCGUUAUCCGGAAUUAUUGGGCGUAAAGCGCGCGUAGGCGGUUUUUUAAGUCUGAUGUGAAAGCCCACGGCUCAACCGUGGAGGGUCAUUGGAAACUGGAAAACUUGAGUGCAGAAGAGGAAAGUGGAAUUCCAUGUGUAGCGGUGAAAUGCGCAGAGAUAUGGAGGAACACCAGUGGCGAAGGCGACUUUCUGGUCUGUAACUGACGCUGAUGUGCGAAAGCGUGGGGAUCAAACAGGAUUAGAUACCCUGGUAGUCCACGCCGUAAACGAUGAGUGCUAAGUGUUAGGGGGUUUCCGCCCCUUAGUGCUGCAGCUAACGCAUUAAGCACUCCGCCUGGGGAGUACGACCGCAAGGUUGAAACUCAAAGGAAUUGACGGGGACCCGCACAAGCGGUGGAGCACGUGGUUUAAUUCGAAGCAACGCGAAGAACCUUACCAAAUCUUGACAUCCUCUGACCCCUCUAGAGAUAGAGUUUUCCCCUUCGGGGGACAGAGUGACAGGUGGUGCAUGGUUGUCGUCAGCUCGUGUCGUGAGAUGUUGGGUUAAGUCCCGCAACGAGCGCAACCCUUAAGCUUAGUUGCCAUCAUUAAGUUGGGCACUCUAAGUUGACUGCCGGUGACAAACCGGAGGAAGGUGGGGAUGACGUCAAAUCAUCAUGCCCCUUAUGAUUUGGGCUACACACGUGCUACAAUGGACAAUACAAAGGGUAGCGAAACCGCGAGGUCAAGCAAAUCCCAUAAAGUUGUUCUCAGUUCGGAUUGUAGUCUGCAACUCGACUACAUGAAGCUGGAAUCGCUAGUAAUCGUAGAUCAGCAUGCUACGGUGAAUACGUUCCCGGGUCU
rnacentral:rRNA from 1 species